rnacentral:miRNA from 1 species
ACACAUUCCAGCCAGUCAGCAGCAGACCCUCCCUCCCAGACCCUUCCACCUCCUGGACAGCAUCCAUUUUACAUCCAUUGUGAAGCUGCAUUCUUAGUGAGCUGUCCAGGAGGUGGGAGGGUCUGGGAGGGAGGGUCUGCUGCUGAUUCGGGACAUCAC